rnacentral:lncRNA from 1 species
AAGCCUUCCUUCCCUGUUGCUGUGUCGCCAGGCACUGCUGCAAGGAGCCGCCGGGAGCUCCAGGGUGAAGAGACCUGCCUCCCCUGGGAGACCUCUGCUAAAGGUGAAGACCUCCAAGCAGACCAGGCAGAUUUAGCAGGAGCUCAGGAAUUUUACAUCAAGGCCUGGGAGGGGAAGGUGAAGAAAAUGCCUGCUGUUCUGGCUGGGAAGAGUUUGAGAAGGCAGACCGCCUGCAGACUGCCCAAACUUCAAGCACUUGCUGAGAAGGGAGAGGACACACCAAGUAACUACUGUGAAGUCAAAAAGGUAGUUUCCCCAAGAAAAAGAAAAUAAUGCUAGAUAAAUAUUUCUGAAAAUCAAAAUUGAAAUCUAGAAAAAUUUGUGAAAGAAAAAAUUAACCCUACAUCGUUUAAUCCGUCUAAAUGCAAAAAAAAAUACCAACAUACAUGAAUCUUAAGAUUUUGUUGUUGUUGUUUGUUAUGUAUACAUAACCAUGGGAUGGUUUAGCUUGAUUUCUUCUAAAAGUCUAAUGAAUGCACCAAGCCAAGUAAAAUAUUCAUUAGAGUAAUUGGUUCAGUUCAACCUCCCAAGGCUACAGCUUGGAAAUACACACACUGUUGCCUUUAGAAAUGCAGCAUGUUGAUUCAACAACGUUUUUACUCAACUCAUUUUCAUUCCAUAUGCUUACUAUAUUUUGCAAAACUCGUUUAAGUAAAUGCUGUAGCAGUUUCCAAGCAAUAUUUGGUAUUUUUUUUAAGUCAAAAGUUAACUAUUAUCCGGAGUGAAACGUGUUCAGUCAUAA